rnacentral:rRNA from 1 species
UACGAAGGUGGCAAGCGUUGUUCGGAAUCAUUGGGCGUAAAGAGCACGUAGGCGGGUUUGUAAGUCGACUGUGAAAGCCCUGGGCUUAACCUGGGAAUGGCAGCCGAAACUGCAGAUCUUGAAUGCUCGAGAGGAUGGUGGAAUUCCUGGUGUAGAGGUGAAAUUCGUAGAUAUCAGGAGGAACACCGGAGGCGAAGGCGACCGUCUGGCGAGACAUUGACGCUGAGGUGCGAAAGCAUGGGGAUCAAACAGG